rnacentral:rRNA from 1 species
GUCUGGUGCUAUUUGCUUGUAGAUCCACCUAAUAACAUUUCGAACUUAGUAGUUAAAUGCAAGUAGAAGGUUUAGUAUUGAGAGGACAACUUCUUGAGAAAUUUCCUUUUGUGCCAGGUU